AACUUCCAACUCUAGAAACUUUGGUUUCCAAUUCCGAAUUCUUUGUUCUUCACUUUCAUUUCUUCAUUUCUUAAGCUCCUUUGACCUUCAAACUCGUCCAUUCCUUGUGCUCCAUAAGCAUACACAACAUUCCAGCUCAAUUUUGCUCUAAAACUCCAUUUCGCACUUCUUUGCAUACUUUGUCUCUAAAACCUGAAAUUGCACGAAACUGACUUUAAACACUAAAAUAACUAAAUAAAAACAACAUAAAUGCACAAGAACAAGCCCACUAAGUCGCAUAAAUAUGCUCCUAUCACCUAAGCUUGCCGUGCUACCCCUUCUAGAAGAACUGGUUUGCCUUGCCUUGCAAGGCAUUCUGGAAGCCCUAUCUCAUCCUUACCUUAUCUGCCGCACCCUAGGCCUUUUCCCAUUCAAAAUCUGAUUGUUUAGGCCUUUUUCCUGAUGGAUUGGGUUCUCCAAGUCCAUAUCUGAUUUACCUAGGGUUUUUGGUGCUUAUAUAUAUAUAUAUCUACACCUUUGCCGCACAUCACCACCUCUCAUAAUUCCAAAUUCACGCCAUAAAUCUGCCUUGCCCUUUGCCGCAGCCUUCCACCACCAUUCUCCCAAAUCUCUGCCAAAAACAACCCCUUGCCGCACCACCUAUCAACCCUAAACCCUUCCAUACCAUUCCUCAUCCAUUCUACACCACAAAUACCACCCAAAACCUGUCCACAAACUCUCUGCUGCAGCAAGGAGGAAGGAGGAAUCGUGGAUGCACCUGCUGCGAAGUUGGAGCGUUUUAGGUGUUCUCUUUCUUUGGAUUUUAAUGUCUAAAUUUAUAUAUCUUUGCUUUGCGAGUAUGAGGAACUAAACUCCCUUGGCUAGGGGGGGAUUCGAAACCAUGUUUAUGCUUGCUAUAUGAUUUGAUUACUUCUAAUUGUGUUUCAUAAGUUGUGGAUUCAAUUUGCUUAUCUAUUUGAAUUAAACUGAUUUGUGUGUGUUGGUUGAGAGUGCACGCUUAAUUGUCAUGCAUAAAUCUAAUGCUCGAAUAUAAGGAAAUUUCACCUAAUCGUUAUGAACUUAUAUUCACAACUAGUAAAAGUUGUUGAUCACAAUUGUGUUAAGUAAAUUCUUGGCAUAAGUUUCAUGCGCUUUCAUAGUUACGAGUGCCUCGUCAAUACUUAUGAUUUCCAUUGAACGUAAUGAUCUUUGAUUGUAUCUUUAUUAUGCACUUUCAUAUAGAGAACUUUUGAGGAAUAAUUUGAUUGCGAUGCGCUUUUUCCAUCCAAUUCAUUGACAUAAGGGAAAUCUGAAAGUUAAUUUAAGCGGACCUAAUUAAUUUGGAGCGUUGAGUAUUCAUGGUUUAUUGAAUUGCAAUUAGAAAUCGUUUUGUAUGCAAGUGUGAAAUGUGUGGAGAAGAACCCCUUAGCUAGUUUUCCAUCCCUUCAAUUCAACCAAAUUCGUUUUAGAAUCUGUUCAAUUUACAAGUUUUGUUUUUGUUUGCAAUUUUCGUCAAAACCAAAUCCCCAUUUAUUUUAAAGUGUUAGAUUAGUUAGAAAUCAGUUUAGUUUGUGUUUUUAAGUGUCUUGAGUAAAGUUAUAACCAAUUUUCGUCCAAAUUCUUCCUUGGUGUCAGAAACUGCCCAGAAAGUGUUUUCUAGGCAGUAUUGAGUCUUUGUUUGCUGUUUUGAGUCUUUUGGUUUAUUUUGGUGUUUUAAAGUUUAGUUUUGCAUUCUUUGAGUCUAGUUUAGUGUUUUAACCUUGUUUUAACGUAUUUGAGUCAGUUUUCAAGUGAUUUAGCAAUCCCUCCUAAUCCCCGGCCUAGAACGAUCCCUACUUACAUACUUUGCUACAAUUGAUAAAAAGAGGGUUUAAUUUGUGUGCUUAUAUAUUUCGCAUCUUAGCCAUGACAUGCAGUUAGGUGUCACUCAUUGUUUGUGGAAGCCCUGAAGAUUAGCAAACACUAAUCUUAAUCAAAGGGAGAAUUGAAAUGUAGUUUCAAUUCACAAUCGAUCGUUAAGAGUAACAAUCGCCCACUACCUCGCUAAUGGAACCUAAUGGAUCGUACACCGAGUAAGGAUGAAAGUGAAGAAAUAUAAAUGAAAUGGAUAAGCAAUUAAAUGGUUUAAUUGAAAUAUGAUCAAGGUUAAUUAAUUAGUUAAUGAUAGGAGCAUAUUUAUGCGCCUUAGUUAGCUAGUUCUUAUGCAUUUUCGUUAUGUUUUCUUUGUUAAAGUAGUCUUUUAAGCUACUUUCAUGUGUUUUCAGGUUUAAAGGACAUAUUACAUGAAAUGAUGCAAUUUGGAGCUUUUGGAGCAAAAAGUGAGCUUGGAUUGAAAAAGGACAUGCUUGGAACACAAGGUUGGGAUGAAAUUGACGAGUUGAAGAUUUGAGGUUUCCUACUUGAAGUAGGAAAGCUAAGCCUAAAAGUUUCCAUUUUGGGUUGAUCUUUCCUAAACCGGAAUGGCCUUGCGUUUGAGCAACAUUAGAAGGUUCCGAAGCGUUGGAAGACACAAAGAAAGGUGUUAGAAUAUUUUCUCAUCCUUGCCAUGGGUUAGGGCUUAGUUUCUCUUGGUUUUGGGCUUUUUAGAAGCCUAUCCACACUCCCACUAAUCAGCCGCACCUUUCCCCUUCUAGAACACCUAUUUCCUUGCCUUGCAAGGCUUUCUAGAAGCCCUAACCCUAGCCCACUUAACUGCCGCACCCUAGGCCCUUUUCUCACCUAAUUUCUGAUUGUUUAACCUAUUCUUCUGGUGGAUUUGGGUUUCUAGAAGCCCUAAUCUGAUUUGCUAGGGUUUUUAAGUGCCUAUAUAUAUAUUUAUACACCUAGCCGCACAUAUCAUCUCUCCACAAUUCAGAAAUUCAUCCAACCUUAUUUCCCCACCUUGCCGCAGCCAUCAUCACCCUAAUACCUCUUAGCCGCCACUUCUCCAUCAAACCAGCCACUUCCCACCCCUUGCCGCAACCAUUCUACACUUCCAGCCACCAUUCUACACCUCUAUACACCACCCAUACCCCUUGCCGCACCACCAUACCAUCCUAACUCCCUUCCUAAACCAAAAUCACAUCCAAAAAUCUCCUAAACCCUCUCUGCCGCAGCAAGGAGAAGAAGAAAGAGGAGCUUGACGUGCAGAAUUCAAAGUGGAAUUGUUGGGCGUUUUAGGUGUAAUCUUUCUUAUGUCUUCGAUAUUUCAAUUCAAUAAACUUUGUGUUGUGAGUAUGAGGAACUAAACCCCCUUAGUUGGGGGGUAAUUCGAAACCAUGUACAUGCUUGCAAUAUGAUUUGAUUACAUUCAGUUGUUAUUUCAUAAGUUGUGGAUUCAAUUCGUUCAUCUAUUUGAUUGAUAACUUAUUUGUGUAUGUUGAUUGAGAGUGCACGCUUAGUUUUCAUGCAUGAAUACGAUGCUAGAUUAUGAGGGAGUUUCACCUAAUAGUUACAAUCUUAUGAUCACAAGUAGUGAAGGUCGCUUGAAAACGAUCGCGUUGAAUGAGUUCUUAGCAUAAGUUUCAUGCAAUUCAUAGUAACAAAUGCUUCGUCAAUGCUUAUGUUUUUCAUAGAACGUAAUGAUUCUUGCUUGUAUCUCUAUUAUGCAAUUCAUGUAGGGAACUUGUAGGGAAUGUUUUAGGUUGUCGUAUGCAAUCAUCCAACUUGAUAACUUGUGGAAAAACUGAGGGUUAACUAGUGCAAUUCACGGUUAAUUUGGGGCGUUGAGUAUUCAUAAUUCAUUGGAAGAACAACUGAUAAUCGUUUUGUUUGCAAGUGUGACAUGUGUGGAGAAGAGCCUCCUAACUAGCCUUUUAUCCAUCCUUUUAUUCAAAACGUUCUA
rnacentral:lncRNA from 1 species